CGCUGGCGGCGUGCUUACACAUGCAAGUCGAGCGAUGAAGUUCCUUCGGGAACGGAUUAGCGGCGGACGGGUGAGUAACACGUGGGUAACCUGCCUCAUAGAGGGGAAUAGCCUUCCGAAAGGAAGAUUAAUACCGCAUAAGAUUGUAGUUUCGCAUGAAACAGCAAUUAAAGGAGUAAUCCGCUAUGAGAUGGACCCGCGUCGCAUUAGCUAGUUGGUGAGGUAACGGCUCACCAAGGCGACGAUGUGUAGCCGACCUGAGAGGGUGAUCGGCCACAUUGGGACUGAGACACGGCCCAGACUCCUACGGGAGGCAGCAGUGGGGAAUAUUGCACAAUGGGGGAAACCCUGAUGCAGCAACGCCGCGUGAGUGAUGACGGUCUUCGGAUUGUAAAGCUCUGUCUUCAGGGACGAUAAUGACGGUACCUGAGGAGGAAGCCACGGCUAACUACGUGCCAGCAGCCGCGGUAAUACGUAGGUGGCAAGCGUUGUCCGGAUUUACUGGGCGUAAAGGGAGCGUAGGUGGAUAUUUAAGUGGGAUGUGAAAUACUCGGGCUUAACCUGGGUGCUGCAUUCCAAACUGGAUAUCUAGAGUGCACGAGAGGAAAGUAGAAUUCCUAGUGUAGCGGUGAAAUGCGUAGAGAUUAGGAAGAAUACCAGUGGCGAAGGCGACUUUCUGGACUGUAACUGACACUGAAGC
rnacentral:rRNA from 1 species